UGGGGAAUUUUUCGCAAUGGGCGCAAGCCUGAUCCAGCCAUGCCGCGUGAGUGAUGAAGGCCCUAGGGUUGUAAAGCUCUUUUGUGCGGGAAGAUAAUGACGGUACCGCAAGAAUAAGCCCCGGCUAACUUCGUGCCAGCAGCCGCGGUAAUACGAAGGGGGCUAGCGUUGCUCGGAAUCACUGGGCGUAAAGGGUGCGUAGGCGGGUCUUUAAGUCAGGGGUGAAAUCCUGGAGCUCAACUCCAGAACUGCCUUUGAUACUGAAGAUCUUGAGUUCGGGAGAGGUGAGUGGAACUGCGAGUGUAGAGGUGAAAUUCGUAGAUAUUCGCAAGAACACCAGUGGCGAAGGCGGCUCACUGGCCCGAUACUGACGCUGAGGCACGAAAGCGUGGGGAGCAAACAGGAUUAGAUACCCCCGUAGUCCCUGAGCGGGCUGGCAAGGCGCAU
rnacentral:rRNA from 1 species